UUGUACGCAGGUCACUAUCUCCACUGGGGAAGAAGAGGCAGGUCAGCCACCCAUCUCAGUGCCCGAAACGUCACUGACAGGACACAGAACAGCAAAGAGAGAGAAGAGGAGGAGCAUCUGCCAGGACAGAAGCAGAUCGUACAGUUUCCCAUCUCCAUUGACACUGGUGCCUUCAAUGUCUUCUACGAGCCUUCAGGAGGAAAAGUGUGGGUUAAUAGCUGCUUCUGGUUUGAAAGAUGUUUUCACGUUGGCUCAUAAAGAUUUUUCUCCUGAGCCCUAGUUGGCCCUCCUCACCUUUUCUUCCACACCAUAGAGAACCAACACAAAAGAGAACAGGAAGAAGCGUCAGAUCAGAGUUCAUCUUGAAAGCCACCAUCUCUG